rnacentral:rRNA from 1 species
GACGAACGCUGGCGGCGUGCUUAACACAUGCAAGUCGAACGAGCGGCGGACGGGUGAGUAAUGUAUGGGGACUGCCCGAUAGAGGGGGAUAACUACUGGAAACGGUGGCUAAUACCGCAUACUAUCGGAUAACCCAUAUGGGAUUAGCUAGUAGGUGGGGUAAAGGCUCACCUAGGCGACGAUCUCUAGCUGGUCUGAGAGGAUGAUCAGCCACACUGGGACUGAGACACGGCCCAGACUCCGACGGAGGCAGCAGUGGGGAAUAUUGCACAAUGGGCGCAAGCCGGAUGCAGCAACGCCGCGUGCGGGAUGACGGCCUUCGGGUUGUAAACCGCUUUCAGCCAUGACGCGGUAGUGGCAGAAGAAGCACCGGCUAACUACGUGCCAGCAGCCGCGGUAAUUC